rnacentral:rRNA from 1 species
CACGGAGUUAGCCGGGGCUUCUUCCUCGAGUCCUGUCAUGAUCGCGCACUCGACGAAAGAGCUUUACAACCCUAGGGCCUUCAUCACUCACGCGGCAUGGCUGGAUCAGGCUUGCGCCCAUUGUCCAAUAUUCCCCACUGCUGCCUCCCGUAGGAGUUUGGGCCGUGUCUCAGUCCCAAUGUGGCUGAUCAUCCUCUUAGACCAGCUACCGAUCGUCGCCUUGGUAGGCCUUUACCCCACCAACUAGCUAAUCGGACGCGGGCUCAUCCUGAACCGAUAAAUCUUUGCCCCUCAGGGCACAUGCGGUAUUAAUUCCAGUUUCCCGGAGCUAUUCCGCAGUUCAGGGUAGAUUCCCACGCGUUACUCACCCGUCUGCCGCUCCCCUUGCGGGGCGCUCGACUUGCAUGUGUUAAGCCUGCCGCCAGCGUUCGUUCUGAGCCAGGAUCAAACUCU